AUUGGAUCCCACUGAGAGUGGCGGAUCCGGUCAGCUCACAGAAGCUAAGUAGGGUCGGCCCUGGUUAGUACUGGGAUGGGAGACAGCCUUGGAAGACCAGGGGCCAUUA
rnacentral:rRNA from 12 species